rnacentral:rRNA from 1 species
UACGGAGGGGGCUAGCGUUGUUCGGAAUUACUGGGCGUAAAGCGCACGUAGGCGGCUUUGUAAGUUAGAGGUGAAAGCCCGGGGCUCAACUCCGGAAUUGCCUUUAAGACUGCAUCGCUAGAAUUGUGGAGAGGUGAGUGGAAUUCCGAGUGUAGAGGUGAAAUUCGUAGAUAUUCGGAAGAACACCAGUGGCGAAGGCGACUCACUGGACACAUAUUGACGCUGAGGUGGCGAAAGCGUGGGGAGCAAACAGG